CUCUUCAUUGACCAUAUAUCGAAAUGCAGGCAUUUUCCAUAAGAACACUAUUUUCAAUGGCACAAAUUUCUUUUUCUGAGUUAAUAGCUAAAGUAUAGUUUAACAAUUCUUGACCAGCGCUCGGAGGUUGAAAAUUGGCAUUUGGGCUUGGACUAAUCGAUAGUCUUGAAGAACCAAAAGCUUCAUGCUUAACAAAUUUGUAGUCCUUUGCAGUUGUUGCUAGAGCAUUUAAAUGCAAACCAAUGCCAGGAAAAACACAAAUCCAUACAAAAGACGAACAAAAUUAGUUUAAAGUCCAUAUUGUUUGAAGUCGUCAUACUUUAAUCACCGUUAUUUCACAAAAAUAGCCAAUUAAAGUGGAAUGGUCUUCAACAUAAUAAAAUCAAGAUAGGCUACAAGAUAUGAGAAACUAUUAAGAGGAACUCACAAACAACACAUUGAAAAAUCUGUCAAGCUUAACUGCAAAUGUGGAAAUAAAAAGGUUCAGGGUAAAGGAGGAGAAUCAGUGCAUACCUGCUCAUUAGCCAAUGGUAAAAGGCCACCAACAUAUACUUGACGUGCAUGCCUUGUAUCCUAUGGAUGAAGUAAAGAUUAGAAGAAAAGUUAAAAUUACAUAAGCAAGUAAAGGAGAAGCAUUACUUUUUUCCCUGCUGACUCAUGGCUUGGAUUGGCAACAAUGGAUGGUAGCCCAACUGGUUAACCUAUUAGCAUGCAUUGUAUUUCUUGAGAAAAAUGAUGGUAACCUUCUAAAAUUUAUAAAGAUAGCACAAAAUAAAAGAGAAAAAAAUUGGUAAAUUGUUAAAAUGACAGAAGGUAUAAAGUGUAACGUUAGGAGACGAGAUAUGAAAAUGUACUCACUUGACAAAAUCAUUUCUAAGGGCUUGCAUAAGAAUAGUAGCCAGGAAACCAGUUAGAAACACUGUCACACUGGAGUUGAUUAUUGGGAACCAAUGGAUUUCCAAGUGAUGGCGUAGUGAAGAAGAUUGAGUACUUCAUUCUCUUCUCGAAAGGAGUUUACUUUCCUUCCAUUUUACCAAGUACAUGAAAACUCUACUUCAACUUCCUUAUCCUCAAUAAUUGUAAAUCAGUUUAUACAAUCUGCUGCUUGGUUAAAGACAAAAUACUAAGUAACUGAAUCAAGAUGUGACAGAUAUGAAGAUAAGGUCAUAAUUUGCCUUCCAAGGCCCCGCACGAACUGGCUUCAAAUUUCUUGACCCCGGACACUGCUGAAUUGUUUCCAAACAUUAAAAAGAAAUCCAUUAGUGAAAUUUAAACCAUGCAAUUUUAUGAAAAUAGAUUCUGGAAAUAAUAAAAACUUGCUUUUCCAGAUGAGGAACUUUUUC
rnacentral:lncRNA from 1 species